rnacentral:rRNA from 1 species
AGGAACCAAGGGCGUAUGGUGGAUGCCUUGACUCAAAGAGGCGAUGAAGGACGCGGCUAAGCUGCGAUAAGCUUCGGGGAGGCGCUAAGCGGCCUUUGAACCGGAGAUGUCCGAAUGGGGACAAACCCGUUCCGCUAAAAGCGGAAUAUCCCGAGAGCAAUCGAGGGAAGCGAACCCUGGGAAGUGAAACAUCUCAGUACCAGGUGGAAAAGAGAACAACGCCGACGUUAUAGUCGGCGUCCCGACCUUGCGUCGGGAUGUUAUUCCCUAAGUAGCGGCGAGCGAAAAGGGAAGAGCCCAAACUGACGUGCUUCGCACGCAGUUCAUAAAGUCCAUAAAGUUGAAAGUUUAUAAGGUGAAUUGAAUUUACUUUAUAAACUUUAAAAACUUUUGACUUUUGACUUGCGCGCGGAGCGUGUUGGGGUUGUAAGACGGCAAUUAAAGAAAGCCUAAAAAUAGUUUUGUUAGUUGAAUCCGCUGGAACGCGGAGCCAAAGAAGGUAAUAGCCUUGUAAACGAAAAUAAAACUAUGCUUUCAAUGCUGUUCUUGAGUACUUCGGGACACGAAUGGCCCGGAGGAAUCCGCCGGAACUAACCGGCAAGGCUAAAUACUCUUUGAGAUCGAUAGUGAACAAGUACCGCGAGGGAAAGGUGAAAAGCAGCCCGGUGAGGGCGAUGAAAUAGAACCUGAAACCAUAUGUCUACAAGGAAUCGGAGCGUGCGCAGCACGCGGAUAUUUAAAUAUUUAAAUGUUUAAAUUUCGCGCGCUGCGCGCGCGACGGUGUGCCUAUUGAAGAAUGAGCCAACGAGUUAAUUUGUGCUGCUUGCUUAAGCCGUUAUAAGCGGCGAAGGCGCAGCGAAAGCGAGUCUUAAAAGGGCGUUCGUAGUACAAAUUAGACCCGAAGCCAGGUGAUCUUACCACGGACAGGGUGAAUUCCGGCGAAAGCCGGGAGGAGGCCCGAACCCAUUAGCCGUGCAAAACUAUGGGAUGAUCUGUGGUAUGGAGUGAAAAGCUCAUCGAACUUGGUAAUAGCUGGUUCUCUCCGAAAUAGCUUUAGGGCUAGCGUCCGUUUUACCUUCCGGGGGUAGAGCACUGGAUGAUUCGCACAGGGAGAAAUCUCGGCAAAUCAAUCAAACUCCGAAUACCGGAAGUCAUUGACGGGCAGUCAGACCGUGGGGGCUAAGCUUCACUGGUCAAAAGGGGAACAGCCCGAAUCUCAAUCUAAGGUCCCUAAAUUUUCGCUAAGUGCGCUUAAGGAAGUGGAAUUUCUCUGACAGCGAGGAGGUUGGCUUAGAAGCAGCCAUCCUUUAAAGAGUGCGUAACAGCUCACUCGUCAAGAGGUUCCGCGCCGCAAAUAAUCGGGGCUAAGCGAAAUACCGAAGGUGAGGGAGCAAGCUUUGCUUGCUCGGUAGGAGAGUAUUCGCAUCCGCAGUGAAGUACACGCCGCGAGGCGGUAUGGAGCGUUGCGAAGUAAGAAUGUUGGCACAAGUAACCACAAUUCCGGUGAAAUACCGGAACGCCGCAAACCUAAGGUUUCCUUGACAACGUUAAUCGAUCAAGGGUUAGUCGGGCCUAAGCCGAUGGCGAAAGCCGCAGGCGAUGGACACACGGUUAAUAUUCCGUGACUUCCGCGCGUUGUGAUGGGAGGACGGAGUCUAGUAUGUUUUGCGCAUUAUUGGAUUUGCGUUCGGGUCGUGAGGGGGGCUUCCAGGAAAAUCCGGAAGCGGGCCGCAAGGUAAUCUCCAAGCGAAGCGAAGACUUACGGGUUCGCCCGUGGGGAUAAAACGGAGCAGGCUUCCAAGAAAAAUCUCUAAACUUAAACGCGUGGGAACCGUACCGAAAACCGACACAGGUGGGUGAGUCGAGUAGACUAAGGCGAACGAGUGAGAGUUUCCCAAGGAACUAGGCAAAAAAGCAGCCGUAACUUCGGGAUAAGGCUUCCCGAUACUACAACUUUACGCGCGAUAUUUAUUUUGAAAUAGCCAAAUUUUGAAAAAAAGUUUGUCUUUCAUGUAUCUAUCGUUUGUAGAGCUGUAGUAUCGGGCGCAGCGAAAGUUUCUCUGGCGACUGUUUACCUAAAACACAGCUCCCUGCGAACUCGCAAGAGGAUGUAUAGGGGGCGACGCUUGACCAAUGCGAGAAGGUCAAAAUGCGCUGGUCGCAUCAGCAAUGGUGCGGCUGCCGUGCAUUAAGCCCUCGUGAAUGUCGGCCGUAACUAUAACGGUCCUAAGGUAGCGAAAUUCCUUGUCAGGUAAUUGAAUUGCCUGUUCCGAUAGCGAUAUCGGAAAAAAAUCGGCUAAUAACGGUGAAGUCCUCGUUGGAGUUCUAAUAUCAAGGUUAGAACGAUGAAGGCAGGAUAAUACCGUGGGAACCCAAUCCAAAAGAUUGGAGGCAUUCCGCCAUCCGCCAACUAGCGGAGCGGAGUGGUCCCGUAACGACUGGAGUCACUGCUGGAUAGUGGUGACAAAGAUAGCUAUGCGAAGUAUAAUGAAAUUGUGAAAAAGCAACGCUAUAAUACGCCGACGCUGAAUAGAGAGAAGCGAUAUUAAAAUCUAUUCAGAUGAAGAUAUAGUCUAUGCCCUUAUGAAAAUAGGGGGUAAAACAUGAAGUUCUGACGCGCACGAAUAGCGUAACGACCGGAGAACUGUCUCGGGAAAUUGCUCGGUGAAAAUACAAUACCGGUGAAGAUGCCGGUUACCUGCAGCUAGACGAAAAGACCCCGGAAGCUUUACUGCAACUUGGUAUUGGCUUUAGGUUUUUGAUGCGUAGCAUAGGUGGGAGGCUUUGAAGUGCCGCUUUUGGGCGGCAUGGAGCCGCCAGUGAAAUACCACUCUUUAAAAACUUAAAAUCUAACCUUCGCGGCAAAAACGCGAGGAGACAGUUCCUGGUGGGCAGUUUGUUUGGGGCGAAUCCCUCCUAAAAGGUAACGGAGGGGUCUACUAAGGUCGGCUAGGCGCGGAUGGAAACCGCGCUGGUAGCGUAAUGGCAAAAGCCGGCUUAACUGCGAGACGGACAGGUCGAGCAGAUGCGAAAGCAGAGCAUAGUGAACCGCUGGUCCGCAUUAGACGCGGCCAAAGAUUAACGGAUAAAAGCUACUCCGGGGAUAACAGGCUGGUAGUGCCCAAGAGUUCAUAUCGACGGCACUGUUCGGCACCUCGAUGUCGGCUCAACCUAUCCUGGGGCUGGAGAAGGUCCCAAGGGUUUGGCUGUUCGCCAAUUAAAAGGUUACGUGAGCUGGGUUCAAACCGUCGUGAGACAGGUUGGUCUCCUAUCUGCUGCAGGCGUUAGAUUCUUGAGGGGAUCCGCUCUCUGUACGAGAGGAUCAGAGUGGACCGACCUCUGGUGUGCCAGCUGUUCCGCCAGGAGCACCGCUGGGUAGCUAUGUCGGGAAGGGAUAAUCGCUGAAAGCAUCUAAGCGAGAAACCCACCCCAAGAUUAGGAAUCAUAGACAGGUUGAAGAUUACGACCUUGAUAGGCUUUAGGUGUAAACACAGCAAUGUGUUCAGCCGAGAAGUACUAAUUGUC